GUUUAAAGCCGGGGGUGGCCUGAAUUGGCCUGAGAGAUACCCUUCGAACCUGAUCAGUCCCGAAAAGGGCAACUGCGUAGGAAUGGCGGAGAGAUAUUUGA
rnacentral:ncRNA from 1 species